rnacentral:rRNA from 1 species
GAUGAACGCUGGCGGCGUGCUUAAUACAUGCAAGUCGAGCGAACGGACGAGAAGCUUGCUUCUCUGAUGUUAGCGGGGGACGGGAGAGUAACACGAGGUUCACCUACCUAUAGGACUGGGUUAAGUUCGGGAAACCGUAGCUAAUACCGGAUAAUAUUUUGAACCGGAUGGUUCAAAAGUGACAGACGGUCUUGCUGUCACUUAUAGAUGUAUCCGCGCUGCAUUAGCUAGUUGGUAGGGUAACGGCUUACCAAGGCAACGAUGCAUAGCCGACCUGAGAGGGUGAUCGGCCACACUGGAACUGAGACACGGUCCAGACUCCUACGGGAGGCAGCAGUAGGGAAUCUUGCGCAAUGGGCGAAAGCCUGACGGAGCAACGCCGCGUGAGUGAUGAAGGUCUUCGGAUCGUAAAACUCUGUUAUUAGGGAAGAACACAUGUGUAAGUAGCUGUGCACAUCUUGACGGUACCUACUCAAAAAGCAACGGCUAACUACGUG